UUGUUUGACGGUGUCUGUCUCU
rnacentral:miRNA from 1 species